rnacentral:lncRNA from 1 species
UAAAUCUUUUGUCAUCUAUAUACACUUAUUUUGCUUUACUUUUGCUGCUUCCCUGAAAGCUCUUGCAAUCAGCUAUGGGCCAGAGUGCAUCAUCUUCAACAAAGAAGACUGUCUCAGGGCUUCAUAGACAAAGACUACCAUGCCAGGUUCUCUCGGGAACAGGCUCUUGAUGGCAUGGCUUUAAGUUCUCCCAUCAAUUCUUCCAUCAAAAAGAUUCCUCCUUAUCAAUAGAAGAGAGAGAGAACACACUUUAUUAACAAAGCUGAAGAAAGAACAUUCUCUUAUCUCCUCGAGAAGCAAAGGGCUGUACCUCAUGACAGCCUCCCGUACUUCUCAUGAGAGACCCCUGAGCUAAUUCAGGAGGUAAAUAUUUACAUAUCUAGAGAUUAUUUGGUCUAUGACCUUAGAAAUACUUCAGUUUUGUAGAAACUGAAGACUAGGCUUAACCCCUAGAAAUAUUUACCUCUGUUCUAAAGUUCAUGUAAGGACUCAGAUUCACUAUGUAUCCAAGGAAACACUACGGAAAAUGGGGGAGGUGGGGGGGAGCAGUUUUCCCUGUAUAAAUAGAGAAAAUCAUUUUCAUUUACCCUUACAGCUGUUAACUCAAGAUCUAGCAGAUCAAGAAUUAACUACAUAGGACUGAAUGAAUUGCAGAGGGAUGACUGUGGUUUUUGUUUGAAAAAUUGUUGAUGUUGUUUCAGUGUUCUAUUUUCUGGAUCUACAAAGAAGCUCUCUCUCUUUCCUCUUAAGUGAUCCAUGUUAUGAUCCUACUCAUAAUAAUUUAGUAGAUUUCACUUUUGUAAACUGAAACCUUUGUAAAUAUCUUAUUGUCUAACAAUGUGCUCAGUUUAAUAUCUGCAUGAGAGUGAUGGUUCUACCUUUUUCUGAAAAUUAUCUUUGAACAAAUCUAUACAAAUUUCC